rnacentral:rRNA from 1 species
GGCGACGACGGGUAGCCGGCCUGAGAGGGCGACCGGCCACACUGGGACUGAGACACGGCCCAGACUCCUACGGGAGGCAGCAGUGGGGAAUAUUGCACAAUGGGCGAAAGCCUGAUGCAGCGACGCCGCGUGAGGGAUGACGGCCUUCGGGUUGUAAACCUCUUUCAGCAGGGAAGAAGCGAAAGUGACGGUACCUGCAGAAGAAGCGCCGGCUAACUACGUGCCAGCAGCCGCGGUAAUACGUAGGGCGCAAGCGUUGUCCGGAAUUAUUGGGCGUAAAGAGCUCGUAGGCGGCUUGUCACGUCGAUUGUGAAAGCCCGGGGCUUAACCCCGGGUCUGCAGUCGAUACGGGCUGGCUAGAGUUCGGUAGGGGAGAUCGGAAUUCCUGGUGUAGCGGUGAAAUGCGCAGAUAUCAGGAGGAACACCGGUGGCGAAGGCGGAUCUCUGGGCCGAUACUGACGCUGAGGAGCGAAAGCGUGGGGAGCGAACAGGAUUAGAUACCCUGGUAGUCCACGCCGUAAACGGUGGGCACUAGGUGUGGGCAACAUUCCACGUUGUCCGUGCCGCAGCUAACGCAUUAAGUGCCCCGCCUGGGGAGUACGGCCGCAAGGCUAAAACUCAAAGGAAUUGACGGGGGCCCGCCCAAGCGGCGGACCAUGUGGCUUAAUUGGACGCAACGCGAAGACCCUUACCAAGGCUUGACAUCCACCGGAAAAUCCGGGAGCCAGGGUCCCCCUUGUGGUCGGUGUCCAGGUGGUCCAUGGCGGUCGUCAGCUCGUGUCGUGAGAUGUUGGGUUAAGUCCCGCAACGAGCGCAACCCUUGUCCCGUGUUGCCACCAGGCCCUUGUGGUGAUGGGGACUCACGGGAGACCGCCGGGGUCAACUCGGAGGAAGGUGGGGACGACGUCAAGUCAUCAUGCCCCUUAUGUCUUGGGCUGCACACGUGCUACAAUGGCCGGUACAAUGAGCUGCGAUACCGCGAGGUGGAGCGAAUCUCAAAAAGCCGGUCUCAGUUCGGAUUGGGGUCUGCAACUCGACCCCAUGAAGUCGGAGUCGCUAGUAAUCGCA